rnacentral:lncRNA from 1 species
ACCGUCGAGUGGCUCACCGGUGUCACAUGGCAGGACGCCGGCAAGGUACGCUUCUCUGCCCUUGCUUCUUCUCCAGAUAUCAAUCAAACAUUUCCUUCCAUUGCAGUUUUAGAUGAUCUUUGCUUGAAAAUUCUUCACAUCCUUCGGUAUGAAAAUAAAAAAGAGAAAUUAAAAGUGAUCUUGCUAAAAUUAAUUUAUAUUAAAUCAUAAGACCUAAUUGUAUCUAGAUCUAAAACCUUUGUUGACAGAAGUUUUCCUAUAAUUAACAGGGAUAAUUUUGUUUAGUUCUUUAGAAAAAAUAUUACAAGAAGUAGCAUGAGAGAAUGAUAUUGAAGAAUUUAGAAUGUGUUUUGCAUGGUUUAAGGUGGAGCUAGUAGAAGGAUCAUCGUACCUUGGACAACCACUUCCAUUCUCAAUCACCACAUUGAUCUGGAUCGAGGUUCUGGUAAUUGGGUUCAUUGAGUUCCAGAGGAACGCAGAGCUUGACCCAGAAAAGAGGUUGUACCCUGGUGGCAGCUACUUCGACCCUCUUGGUUUGGCCUCAGACCCAGAGAAGAAAGCCACUCUUCAAUUGGCAGAGAUCAAGCACGCACGUCUUGCCAUGGUGGGCUUCUUGGGCUUUGCAGUCCAAGCUGCUGCCACUGGCAAGGGCCCACUCAACAACUGGGCUACCCACUUGAGUGACCCACUCCACACAACCAUCAUUGACACCUUCUCAUCCUCUUAAGAAAAAACAACUCUUGUACCUGCUCUCUAUAUUAUAAACGUCUUUCGGCUUUGCGUUGUAAUUAAUCAAACAUUUCACUUAGCUGAAUUAGUACUUGUCAAACUGGUAACUUUUAUUGGAGAGGCUUAGCAGAGUUCUUCUGCUUCAUCGUAAACUGUUCUUCUCCUGUGAAUCUUAAUUAAGCCAAAAAUACAGAUAAAAUUCAGAUCACCAUCAAAGGUAAGGGCAGGGGAUUAGUUUGAGGCUAUAUUGCAGAUUAUGUUUUAUCCAUUUUAAUGAUUUUCAUUCUGGAUAACCCCUGGCUUACUGAAGUUUGUGACAAUGGAGUUUAAUACUUAAUUCACGCAAUUCAUUGCAUCUAAUAAUACUGCAUUUUGAUUGGCAUAAUCAACCGCUUAUUAUAUGAAAUACCAUGGUUUCAUCUGUUUGGGAUUAAAGGUGGAUUAAACAAAAUGAUACAAUUGAUUAAUGAUAUUUCAUUCAUUUGGUUUUGUUCUAGAAAUGAAGGAUUAGUAAGCCCAUUCCUUUUUUUGUUCAUUUCUGUUUCUUUAUUAUCACCCACAUGUUCAUGUUUUUAGUUUCUAUUCAUUGCAUUCAUUACUAAGUAUAUAUGUUUAAUAUCAAGAUUCAAAUUAAAAAUAGUUUUAAAUGACUUGGUGGUAAUAGUGAGAUUCACCUAUUAAAUAGUUUUAAUAGUCUUAUCUUUAGGGUUGACCAACGACCUACCAAAAAUAUUAAGAACGAAUCUAAGUCAAUUGGGUAAAUGACAUAACAUUACACAUCCCCAAGUUUCAAGCUUUGAGUCCACAGGUUAAAAGAAAGGGUAAACCAACACCAUAAAUCAAGCCUAUGGAGAUUAGAUUUGGAUUGUGAUGCUACAUAGUCUCUCAGCCUUGUCCUUUUAGCCUCUAGAGCCUAGAGGCUAAAGAGUCUUGAUGUCGCCCCUUUCUUUACGAUACAUGUCCAACGUAUAAACUUGGCGAUGACCCAUGCCAAACAGAGAAUUUGCGACAAUGCCUACCAAGUGCAUAGAGUUGAUGACAAUUCCUACCUAGUGCAUAAACUUGGCGACAAUCCCUACCAAGCAAGAGGAAUUAGUGAUGAUUCCUACCAAGUGAAAGAACUUUGCAAUGAUUCCUACCAAAUACGAGGCUUGACAACAUUCCUGCUACCGACUUGGCGACAAUUCCUACUUAGUGUGAGUGACAAAAAUACCCUUUCUUCAUUUAAUGAAUCACAUGUUUUAUGUUAGGGUAGGUUGUCAAUGUAUCAUUACUGUUAUUUUUACUACUUGAGUGUCAAAAAAAACUUUAUUUAUUUCAGAAUUGCUCUAUCUCUUCAUGUGAAGUCCACAUUUUAGCAAAAAUUUAUUUUUUCAAAUCUUAUGCAAGAUUGUCAACAUAUUGAUGUGAGUUGAUUUUAGAUUUAGCCAUUUUUAGAUGUGAUAUUUUACUUAAGAUUGAGAUUUUAGCAAUUAAUGGUGAGGACCUAAGGAAGAUUCUCAUUGUACACGAACUUAACCAAAUAAGUAAGUGUGAAUGUUCACUUCACAAACACAAAGAUGGAAAAAAAGAUAUAGUGAAUAUGGAAUGCAAUUGCAGAAAUGAAAUGGGAACAUGGUAAGUGAUAAGUGUCUAAUUUCAGUAAUAUUUCAUAUUAAAAUAUAGGUACUUAUGAGGAUUUAUUGCUAAUUUACAUAUAAAAUAAUCCCUAAUUUAUGAAUUUAUAUAUUUUUACAUUUUUUAUGAUCUUUAUUUGAAUAAGAGUAUUUUAUUCUCAAAUUUGGUGUUAAUUGCAUAUUUCUAAGGAAAAUUGGAGAUUUGGAUUAAAGAUGAAUGAUUUGAGCUAAAAAGAUAAAGAUAGAAGGUCCCAGAAUGGAAAAAGAUGCAAAGAAAGAUUUGGCCUUUUUUAUGUUUUAUCAUUUAGCCCAUUAGCGCGACACAAUAAACAACCUAACCCUAGAAAACUAGGAUAAAUAGAGGGCUAGAGGCUCAACCUUAGUGUGCUAGAUUGAGAGGAAAACACCAUAGAGUGAAUUGUAACCCAAUUGGGAGAAUGGAAGGUGCUAGAAGUAUGCGUGGCUAAUUCUACCCUUUGGGAUUAGGAGUAAUCUGCUCAAACUCUUAUGUAUUGAGGUGAUAUCUUAUAUAUUAAUAUUCUGUUCUUGAUUGAUUAUUGGUAUUGUUGUUUUACUUUUAAUUUUCCGUGACAAAUUGAGAAUCUUAAAUCUGACCGGGAGGUAUUUUUAGGGUUCGGACCUAAACAACAAUACUUAAAAGUAUGAGCUUCGUUCUAAGUUGUUCUUAUAAUUAUGCGAGGGAUCGAUAGUUAGGGGACAUUCUUAAGGAUUUUAUAUGUGAGGAAUCGAUAUAAAUGAUUUUUAUACGGGCAUCAAUUUUAAUCAAAGAACUUAAUAUUGACAUGCUAAUCAAAAUACUUGAGAGUGAGAAAGAUGAAACUAAUCCUUAUUUUUCCAAUUGAAACAACUAAUUCUUUGUCUGUUUUCUUAUUGAUCAGUGUCAACACAAUUAAUUCAAAACUCUUUUAAUUGUUCUAUUUUUAUAUUUAGCGAUUAUUGUACUCGAUAAUUCACUGUUCCUUGUGGGAUCGAUAUCCAUCCUUAGGGACAAUUAUUACUUCUGACAAACGCGGUGCACUUGCCGUAAAAAGUCAUCAGUAAGCAUCAAUGGUGGUCAUUGCCAAACCAAAUGAUGAUCCAUACUGUAUAAAUGAGCCAAAACCCAAAAACACAAUUUAAGAACAAAUAUGAAAAUCAAGAACAUAAAUGGAAUGGAAAAAUGGAAAGGAAAAUGGAAGAAGAAACAUAAGGAAGGGAUGGUGAGGAUGAUCACGCCACUUGGGGUGUGGAGGCCACCAAGAUAAGUGGAAAGGCCGCCACUUGAGUUCCUCACACUCUUCAAGAUAAGACCAUGUAAAGAGGAAACAAGCCUCACUAUAAGUUCUCACAAAUUGUGCAGAGUUUCUUUACUUUUCAAAUUUCAACAUGAAAAUACAAUAAGGGCGACCUCCUAUUUAUAAGUGAAUGAGCCUUGGAAAACAAACAAGAAGGGUAUGAUGGGAAAAGAAGAAAUAUGGUGCGGCUAGGGUAUUGACCUUGAUCAAUGCUGCACCAUCAUCCUACAUUCUAGAAGGUAGGUCAAAACAAGCCCAAAGUGAUAGCUCACCCCUUCCUUUUAUGCUAAAUGACACCUAUAUUCUACUGAAAUUAAAAAUAAUGAAACCCACUAAUGCUCAACACCCAAAGCCUGUGCUCUGCUACUCGUGAUCCUCUUGGGCAAACUAGGUACUGAGGUCGUGAUUGGAGAAUCUGGUCCUGACCUUAUGUCUUGAGGCAUGCUCCUAGUCUUCCUUCUCAGAGGUUGGGUCUAGUCAGGAGACGCACUCUUUCCUAGGUCCUCAUCACCUAUAAUCACUUAUUUCUUCAAACAAUUUAAUGACAAUAAUAUAUAAAAUAUAAAAUAGAAAAAAUAUGAUUAAUUUACACGGUGUUGUUUUAAUUCUGAAUCCAUGAUUUUAUAUUUUCUAUUUUCUUCAUCUUAGCAGUUGAAUGAAGAUUAAAAUAAGUUUUAAUUGGAGCAGUUGAAUAGUGCACUUUAAAACCAUUUUCUUGCUAGUUGCUGCUUACAAUAUUGUAUAUAGACUUUAUCUUUUCCUCUGCCAAACGCAGUCUCCUUCAUCAAUUGCAACACUUCUUCAUCAACAUGACACGGUCAACGAUUUCACCCUCUCCGAUCUCCAUCUCCUUGACGCUCUUGUUCAUCACUUCUGCGUGCGCCACAUCGUUGAACGAAAUCGAGAACUGCGAACCCAAACUUUCCGACGGAUUCACGGUUCCAAGCCAAGUAGAGAAACAAGAACAAGACGCGAUCAAAGAGUAUUUGGAUAGCGUAUUCGAAAACGCGCUUUUCGGCAGUGAUUCUACAGAAACAGUGCAGAAUAAGGAAACAUAUCCAGAUACCUAUGUCAUCGAAGCAGAGAGCAAUACACAGAUUAAGGACGAGGGUACGUGAAUGCGUAAUUCUCGAUUUUUUUUGUUUGCUUGCAAAUUCCAUAUGGUGUUCUUAUUUGUCUAAGUUUUAUUUCUAUUUUUUUUUUUGGUUUAAUGUUUUUAUGUCUCUAUGCAUUAGAGAUUAAAUACUUGCUUAGAGAGUAAAGCAAAUUCAAUAUAACUUUUAUUUAAAAUAAUUAUUAUAACAAUAAAAAAUAUUUAAUUGAAUGGAAGUAUAAUUUUAUUAAAGCAUAAUUAUUUUUUUUAAUUCUUAUAAUUUAUUUUCUCAAAUAGUUUAACCUUUUAAGAAAAUUAAGAACAAUAAUAAAAAGGUCACUUAUUAAAUGAUUUUAUUAAAAUAAUCCCAUUCUUUCAAUAAAUGUAUUAUUAUUAUUAAAAUAAUAUGGAUGCAGAUAAAUCAGCUUAUAAACAGCCCAAAGAGUCUGUGGAAGAACAGAAGCUGGUAGUUCCUAGACAUAUACAAGACGAGGGACCAGAAUCGAUCAAAAAAUAUUUGGAUGACUUAUUCAGCAUCGCACUCUUUGGCAAAGAUUCAACUGAAACAGGACAAAAUCAGGAAGCACAUCAAGAUACCAAUUCCAAUCAACUUCACAGCAAAACACACAUUGAGCAAGAGGGUAAAUAUUUAAUGCUUAAAUCUUUUGUUAACUUGAUCAAGAUUCUGUUUGUCUAGGAAACCUUAUUCUUAAGGAUUUCUACAACAGAAAAAGAAAAUUAAAAGGUGAGAUGAGUGUUUUCACCGUUGAAAUUAAUUUAGAACUAAAUAAUUCUUAAUCAGAAUUUAUUUACCAUGUAGUGAAUCCUAGUCUAAAGAGAGAAUGACCCUAUACUAUAGUGAUACCAAAAAUAUGGCAUAUAAUAAUUCACUAGAAUACUCAUAUUGAGGGUAAAAACGUUAUGUUUUUAUUUAUGUUCUUCAUCACUUAAAUAGUUGAUGUUUUAUGAAUUUGUAGAGUCAUUGGGCCUAAACAAACUUAUUAUUUGAAGUAAUGAAAAGAAACUAACGUAGCCAUGUUUCACAAGUCCAUUAUAUCAUGUAGUCUUUCAUCCAUAAUGGGUGUUCUUAGGUGUUGGAUCGUGUUGUAUCAUUGUCAUCUUUUGCACUAGGAACUUUGUCCUCAAAGUGGGGAUAUUGUGUGGUUUGGGUCAUGCUGGUGGUGUGUGGGAGGAGUUGUGUGAUAUUCAGAUGUGAUUAGAGUGUUCUGAAGAGUUAGGAACUCGAGGGAAAAAGGGGACUGAGUCACAUGGGUAACAUGAGGUAACAUAUUUUGAUUUGCGGAAUUGGACGGUGUUGUGAGGGUGUUAGGUGGGAGGGUCUUUGUGUUAAAUGGUGGGCUUAGUGAGGCUUCUCAAGAUGUUGAGUUGGUUAAAAGAGUUUGAAGGUGGAAUUCCUUUGAAGGGUUUAAGGAGAGAAAUAUGGAAGACUAUAGGUUAGGGGUAAAUGGAGCUCAUAUGCUAUCGUGCCCUAUUUGGUGAACGAUCUGAUAAGGCCUUGAGUAUCAUGGAGAGAGUUUGGUAGAUGUUUGUUACUCAACUGAGUGUUGUCGGUAAGGUUCGAGAUGAACCCAUACCCAUUCGUUAACUUUGAAGGAGAGGUCGAUGUGGUGGUAAUUAGCUUGGUCUUGCAUGUGUUGGCAUGUUCUAUGGAGGUUCAAAUUCAGUUCAUGGCAGCCCGAAACAUUGAAGGGCAUUGGUCAAGCCAAAAGGCAUGACUAGAAAUUAGAAAUUCAUAGUGUCCAUGAAGUUCUGAAAGUUGUUUUGUGAUUUUCUUCUGAGGUGAGUCUAAUUUGGUGAUAGCUUGAGUAGAAGUCAAUCUUAGUGAAAACUGUAGUUGAACCUAGUUCAUCUAGCAAUUCAUCAAUGGUGGGUAUGGGAUAGCAGUCACCUAUUGUGACUGUGUUUCAUCAAUGGUGGGUAUGGGAUAGCAGUCACCUAUUGUGACUGUGUUUAAGGCUCUCUAGUCCACAUAAAAACGUCAUGUACCAUCUUUCUUUUUUAUUAAGAGGAUUAGGGAGGAAAAAAUGCUAGUGCUCGACUAAAUGAAACUGUCACGAAGCAUAUCUUGAAUUAGUUGGGAGAUGAUGCCUUUUUUAGAAUGGAAGUAAUGGUAGGGUUUGACAUUAAUAGGAGUGGUGAUGGAAAGGAGAGGAAUUUGGUGAUCAUGCGAUCACGGUGAUGGUAGGUCGUGAGGUAUUUAGAAUAUGAUUUGGUAUUGUAAAAGGAUUCAUUGGAUGGAGAAGGGGAUAUGGUAUAGUGGGAAGGAUGGUGUUUGUAUGCUGAGUUUAAGGGUAAGGAGGGUGUGUGAAUGGAUAACAAGUGGAAGGAUGCCAUGGCGUUAGUGGAUAAAAUCUGGAAAAAAACAGAUGAUAUGUAGCUUGUGUAAGGUUUGGGGAAGUUGUGGUUGUGAAUGUGAUUUGGUGGUUAAGGUGAGUAAAGGCAAUGCUAAGAAUUGAAAAAUCAUCUUUAAUGAUUCCCAAAGUGCACAACUAUUCAAUCCUCAUAACCACAUAUGUUCUUUCAAUUCGGAGAAUGUAUAGGGGAAUGGUGAGAAUAGAGUUUUGGAGAGAUAAAUCCACAGAAGGACAUAUUUCCUAACAUGUGAUGAAAGCACCAUUGCCUACCAUUACUAUAAAUGUUGGGUUGGGUUUAAUGGGUAGGUGUAGGUGGUGUGCAAUUCUUGGAUGCAAGAUAUUGUGUGAACUUCCAGAAUCAAUAAGAACUGUGAUUGGGAGGUUGUGGAAGACCCCAAUGCAUUUCAAUGUUUGGGGUGAUGGUUGCUUGUGAUGAUGUGGAGUAAUAGGUGGAAAUGGAUAAUGUCUUGAGGAGGUGUAGGGUAUUGUCGUCGUGAGGAUCUAGGAAAGAAUACAUGUCUUCUAGGAGCAAUAAAAAUCAGGAAGUCAGCCUAAAGUGAAGUUUAUAAAAAGAAAAACAAAAUUGGGAAGUAGAACAUUUGUGGUUAGGGAUGAAUUUUUCAUCACAUUUUUAACACAAUCCUAAGGACCGACGUUCCUGAAGUUGUAUGGGUGUAAGUCAUUUAAUGGGUAGAUUAGUGUUGGUUUUAGGGAUGGGAGAAGGGCGUAGGUGGUGGUGGUGGGGUUCUGAGUAGUGGGUUGGAAGGGACGAAGGGUUUUGGGUUUGGAAUCAUGAAUGUUUUCCUCUAUGAUUUCAGCAAGGUCAAUAGCCUGGAAAAUGGAGUAGGGUUUCAAUAUGGUUAGUUCUUUGUAAAUCUCAGGGUUAAGACUUGAUAUGAAGUAAUUUAGAAUAGUGUUAAGGGACAAACCCCGAACGCAGUUGUAGAGUUUUUCAAACUUAGCCUGAUAUAUGUAAGCUUUGGUAUGUUGAUGGAGUUUGAAGAGUUCAACUUGGUGGUUGGUAUAAGAGGAUGGGCCAGACAAAGUUCUAGGGAACAAAUAAAGGAAAGUCAAUCGGUGAUGAGGUUUUGUUAACUAAGAGCAUCUUCAUUCAUGUGGAAGGGAACCAUAGAUAAACCUUUGUUGAGGAUGAAUUUGGUAAAAAUAAAAGUAUUCUUCAGUUUGAAAUAAUCAGUCCAAAGGAUCUAUUCCUUCAAAAAGGGAAAGUUGCAGUUUGGGUGGUCUAAUGGCAGGUAGUGAGGGUGGUGGAGUGUGUGCCUGAUCAUGUGUAGAUAGGGGUGGUGAAGCAAUGAGAGGAGGAAGGGAUGAGACAUGGUCCAUUAAAUUGGUAAGAGAGGAUGGGAGGAUCUUGUUUCUGGCUUCUAUAUUGGUACGACGAGUUUCGUUAGCCUUUAUUUGGAUUUGGAUGGCCGAGAGACGAUCUUGGAUGACUUGAAAGAUGUCUUCUAGGUCUUUGGAUUAGGGUUUGGGAGGUAUGGAACUAGCAAUGAAAACACCAAUAUUAAGUUUUCACUACAAUGAUACCAAAAGUAUGACCUACAAUAAUUUACUAGAGUACUCAGAACUAGGAUAAAAACUUAUCUUUUUAUUCAUGUUCUUCAUCAUCUAAAUAGAUUAUGUUUUUUGGACUUGUUGAGUCAUUGGACUUAAACGCACCCAUUACAUGAAGUAAUAAAAAGAAACUAACAUAGCCAUGUUUCACAAGCCCAUUUCAUCACGUAAUCUUUCAUCCAUCAUAAGUGUUAUGAGUGUUCCUUUUGUAUAAUAGGCCUACUAAAGGUGUUGGAUAGUGUUGUAUCACCAUAUCAUAUUGUUUCUUUUAAUUUUUAUUAUCAAAACGAACUAAACCUUUUUAUUAUUUUUCUAAUAUAUAUAUAUAUAUAUUAAAAAUAUAAUUAAAUUAUAUAAAGAUUUUUUAAAUUAUAUUAGAUUAUAUUUAAUAAUUAAAACUUAAAUUGUAAGUUUUUAUCUUUUAAAUAUAAUAAAAAAAAUCUUUUAAACUAUUUUUUUAUUUUAAUUUUUAAUUUAAAAAUAGAUGGAGGGAUCAAUAUAUCUUAUCUCUCUAUCAUUGGGCAGAUAGAAUUGAUCAUAGUUAUUAGAGGACUGAAAAUAUGAAUCUAACUUUCACAUAAGCAAUAAAUUGACAAAACUGGUCUAUUUUUAUAACUCCUUUUGUUUUUUUAAAGGUUAAUCACUUUGUAUAUGCUUGUGUAGCUGAGAACAACAUGGAUGCUGAUAAAUCAUCUAAGAAAUUGUCUAAAUCGAAAAAGGAAGAACAAUUGGUAGAUGAUGAUUUUGCAGUUAAUGUUGACCUUGAGAUCGUGGGUGAUGGAGAGUAUGUGCUGAAGAUCAAAAGGGUGAAUCUAAGUUCAAACAAUGAGGUAGAAAGGGCUAAGCAUUUGGCUCAAAAUGGAGCAAUGUUGUUACAUUAUGGAGAGAUACUUCAAGAGAUGGGAGAGAAAUUGAUUACCCAAUCCCAAGCAUUACUUGACUCUGUGUUUAAAAUGUCUACAUCUCCUAAAUUCAACUCUAAUCAAUCAUACUAACUCUCUACUUUCAUUCUCUUAAGUUAUUUUGAAUGGUAACUUAUAAGAAAACUACCAAUUUAGUUUAUGAAUGUGAAAUUGUAAGAUGUUAUUACUUUAGUCUUUAGUUGUAUUUAACAAAAUGUAAAAAAAGUCCAUGCUUUCAUUUUAGUCUUUCACUGUAUAUUAGUUAAUAUUAUAAUUGAAGUACUCAAAAUUUUGAAGAGAAAUCAGAAAAUAAUUUUUUUUAACGAAUUGUUUAGUUCUAUGAUAAUGCGCUUAGUGUAUUAAUAGUUAUUUUUUGUUUUCCUUAUAAACUUAUAGUUUUGUAGUGUGUCUUGUUUGUGUUUGAGCGUGUUUUUUUUUGUCUUUUUUGUUUUGUGUUAUAAGUAUAUAAUCUUUUCUUGAUUUCCUUGUACAUUUUUCAUUCUUCAAUCAAUAAUAUACAAUUUUUCUAUUAUAGAUUGCUUUUAUUCACUUCUUUCACAUGAGUUCCAAAAUCUGAAUGGGUGAAUAUGUUUUCUACAAAAGUUUCUUGGAUUUGUUCAAGUUCUUCUAAGAUGGUAUCAGAUCUCUUCAUUUGAAGAGCUUUAGUGCACGUCUUUGAUUUUUCUUUCCUUUUUUGCAUUUAUUUUCAACAUGAGUGAGUAAUCUAUUCAUUUUUUUUCUUUACAAUGUCAUUUAUCUUCAUCCUAGUGAAAACCCUCUUAUUUCUCUUGUUUUUAACCCUAAUAACUAUUAUUCUUGGACUAGAUUGGUCAUCACUACUUUAAGUGCUAAAAACAAGUUUUAGUCCAUUCAUCGUAAGAUUUGUUGAAUUAAUAGAUAGCAAAUGGGGGGGGGGGAGGCUGAAUUAAACUCAAAAUAUUUUUAACUGAUAUAUUUUGAAAACACAAACAAUUUUUCAAAAAAUUAAAAUUUUUGUAAAGAAACAAAUUAAAAUUAAAAAAAAAAAACACUUUCAAGAAAUUUGAAUCUGUUAUAAAAGAAAAUAACUGAUUAAAAAAAAUUCAAAAACAUUUUCAACACACAAUUCAAAUAAAAAAACAACUAAAUCAUUAAGACAAUUGAUACGAAAAUAAAAGAUGACAUUGAGAAUUAAGAAAAUCAAUCAAUUAACUCAAAAAACAAUUGAUUUCAAUUUCAAUUUUGUUUUUUAUAACAAAACAUAAAUUUUGAUUAUUAAAAGAUGUCUAGAAAAAUAACGAUUUAUGAAUUGUAUUCAACUACUUCAGAAAGCAAUCAAUCCAUAAACACAAUACACUGUGUUAAAGAAAAUCAAUUCAUUAUUUUAUGGAAACAAUUGGUUAAAAAUAUCAGUCCAGAUUAUUAUGCAUCAGUGUAAUAGUGCAGAAAAGAAAAGAAUCAGGAACACAAAUAUUUGUAUACUGGUUCACUCUUUCACAAAAGCUACAUCUAGUUACCACUUCAUAGCAAAGUGGUUAUCACUAAAAACAUUGAAAGACAACUCUUGAAUCCUACAAGAACCUAUAAUGUAACACCCUGUUACCGAAAAAUAAACCCCAAUAAACCCUAAUAAACACAUAAAACAAACAAGAGUAAUGAAAUGAAUUAACCUGGUACAAAGAAUCAAGGAACUCUAUAGGAUCCUUCUCCACACGAAAACAAUGAAGUAUCCUUCACAUCACAAGAUGAUGAUCUCAAUCCUCCAAGAAUAUCAGAGAAACCAACAAUCCUUCAAAAUCUUAUGAAAAACAUAUUGCAAAAACUUUUUCUCAAAAAAGAAGUUUGAAAAAUCAUACACAUUUUUUUUUCUUUAAAAAGUUUUGAAUUCAAUUUAUACAAUAUGAAAGAGCAUAUCAAUAAAAAUAAGUUAAUAAAAUCAAUUUGUUUAAAAAAUACGAAUUAACCUAUUGAUUUCACUUAAACAGAUAUAAUUAGGCUAAUUCUAGUUUUCUCACAUGUUAAAAACUUAAAAUGACGAACUCAUUAUAUUUUACAUAUUAAAACAUGUUUUUAACACAUUAAAUCAUAUUUCAGAAAAUGCUAAAGAGGUUUAAUUGUUUUCAAUCAAUUAAUUAGAAAAAGAAUUUUUUAAAAAAACUCUUUAGAAAUAAAUUCAAAAACAAGUUUAAAACAUUCAUUUUUGGAUUCAUCAUCUUGUCAAGCAAAAGAUAGAUCACACAGACUCAAGACAAGAAAAUACAUAUUUUUAUUGGAAAUUCAAGUUUUGUGGAUUUGGUAAUAUGCUUAAUGCUUAAUUACGAGGAACGACCAUUGAUGUCAUUGAAUCAUGAAUCAGGUCAGAAGGCAAGUUCAUGUAUUUAAACCCUAACAAACUAGGCAUAUAUCUCAAUAGCCACAAAGCCUGAAAAUGAGAAUAUGGUGAAUUGUUUUAUCUUAAUUCAAAAAUAAGCUAUGACAAUGCACGAAAUUGAUUGGGGUAGUUUACGAUUCUAGAUAACCCUAUGCAAGAAAUUGACUUUGUUUGACUCUAUGUAACAGAGAACUUGAACAAACAUGGUGUUUAUAAAUAACAAUAAUACGAUAAAUUCACUAAGUUCUUUCAAUCCCAACAUUUGUGUUAUACUAAUUAUUCUUUACUUCAUUAUUUUGUCAAAGCUUCAUCUCUCGCUAAAUAGGAUUAGUAUAGUUAGUUAUUUAUAAAAUAUAUGCAACUAAUCUCUAUCUUUGCAUCACUUUACUAUGAUAAACAUUAAUGUUUUGUUGAUAUAACACCCCUCAGUUAUACUACAAUUAACUAGGUCUACUUGUUGAAAUAAAAAAAUUAAAUUCAUUCCAUCACAAAAAGUUAAAUUUUUAAAUAAUUUUCUUUAUAAUGAGGAAGAGAAUGUGUCUUCCAUCCUAAUGUAUAAUUAAUUUUUUUAAUGUUAUUAAAAAUCUCAUUUAUGAAAUAUGAUGUAUUUAUUAUGUUUAAUAAAUGUAAUUAUGAUCAAUGAUUACAUAACUACUACUAUGAAGCAGUAUAUUAAAAUAUAAUAAAUAAAAUAUAAUAUAUUUAUUAAAUUUAAUAAAUAUAUAAUUAUGAUUAGUAAAUACAUAACGAUCUAACUUUAUAUACAAAGUAAUACAACUAAAUAAAAAUCAAUUACUACUUCAUUAGUACAUCCAUCACAAAUUAUAAGAAAAACAAUAAAAAAAAUCAUUAAAUAGAAAUUAUUGGUAUAUAAAGUAACUUUUAUUAUUAAUAAAAAAUUUAUAAAGUAGUAUUUAAAUUGAUAUCUAACUAUUAGUUAUCAAAGUUUUAACUAUUAACGAAUUUAUAUUAUAAAUUAGUCUCUAUUAAUUUUUUAAAAAUUAAUAUAGAAUCUAAAAUACAAAUAACUAAAAUUUUGGUAACUAAUUUAUAUAAAAAUUUAGAAACCAUUUUAUAAUUAUUCAUUAAUAAUAGAAAUUAUUUUAAAUAUUAAUAAGUUUUUAGUUUAUAAAAUUGUAUCAAAUUUAAUCAAAAUAAUGAUUAAUUAUUUUCUUAUCUAAAUUUAAUUAUUAUUUAAUAAUUUUUCUUGUGAAAUUUUGAGCAAAAUAACACAAUUGCACUAUUUAUUUCCUCUCUCAUAUUGUGUCAAAUAUUUACACAAAUAACAUAUUAUAUCAUGUAAUUAGCCAAAUAUCACGGUUUAUUGCAACAAUUCAAAAUUUGAUUUCACUUUUCACUAUUUUUUAUGUGAAAUUGUCAAAUCAAAUUUUCAAAAUAAUAAUAAUUCAACAUUCAUAAGUAUUAAUUUUGUUAACAAAUUUUUCUUAUUUAGGUAUUUUUCUAAGUAAUAUUUUUUUUAAAUAUAUAUUUUUAAAUACUAAUUUUUGGAAAUAAUUAUUUUCUAAAUUAUUAUACUUUAUACAAUUUUUCUAAAAAAAAAUUAUAAAAAAAAAUCGUAUAAUUUUUUUAAAAUAAUUUUUAAAAAAAAGUCAAAAUCAUCAAUUAUCAUCUGCCCUUCAUUAAAUAAAAUAAAAUAAAAUCAAGUUUAGACUAGAACCCAAUACUAGUGCGGUAUCUUUUGUAAAAAAUAUUGAAUUCGAUUAAACUCAUUUUUAUAUAAAAAAAAUUAUUUAAAAUCGUUUUUUUUUAAAUCGUAAUAAAUAUCAAUAAUAAGAUAAAUUGAUAAAGUUAUUUCAAUCUUAAGAAUUAUGUUAUUCUCAUUAUCCUUUCCUAUAAAUGCAUUAGUAUAAUUAAUUAUUUAUAAAAUAUAUACAACUAAUAUUUAUCUUUACAUACUUUAUUUAAAAAUUAUUAUCACUUCAUCUUAAAAAUUAUUUUUAUAAUAAUCAACAUUAAUAUUUUGUAGAUACAACAACUGUCAGUAGUACAAUACAAUUGUUUUGGUACUUACUGAAAGUGUCUUCCAUCAUAAUAUAUAAUUAAUUUUUAUAAUAUUAUUAAAUAUCUUAUUUAUGAAAUAUGAUGUAUUUAUUAUGUUUAAUAAAUGUAAUUAUGAUUAAUAAAUGCAUAACUACUACUAUGAAGUUAUAUAUUAAAAUAAAAUGUAUAAAGAAUUAAAAUAUAAUAAAUGAAAGAUAAUAUAUUUAUUAAAUUAUAUAUAUAUAUAUAUAUGAUUAAUAAAUAAUACAUAAUGUCUGAUCACUACAAGAAAAUGAUGAAAUAGUAACCAAUUUUUAGAGACUAAAAUAAUUAUUUGAAAUAGUAACUAAAUUAGAGACCAUUUUAGAAAUUAAAAAGAAAAUUGGUUUCUAAAUUAAUUUAUAUUAUUGUUAAAUAGUUUCUAAAUUUGUAUUUAAUUAGCAACCAAGGUUUUAACUACCAAUUAUUUAGUUUAUAAAAGAUGAAGCUUACUAAUGUCUGUCUUGAAUGUGAUUUUACCUUGAUUUGUGUUGCGUUUACUGCUAGAACUAAUGUUUUGUGAUGCUUUGUGAUCGAUGGAAUAUUUGUUUGUGCUGAUAAGUUAGCUAAUUUAGAAUUUAUUCAUAGAGAAUCAUUUCAUUGGUAUAAUAAACUUCCAUCUAGUAUGUUCUUAGAAUUCUUUAUGAAUAUGUAUAAUCUACUUAUAUAUAGUUUUUAUUAACAUAUGAGUUUUGGUCUAGUCCCCCCAUAUUUUUGUAUUUUUUUUAAUAACACUUUUUUCAUGUGAUGUCGUAUAAUUAUUGUUACUUGAGGUAUCAACUUGGGUGAGAUGUCAAGUUGCAUAGUGAUGUCUGACAUGAAAACUUUUAUAAAAAAGAAAUACUUUUGAAAUUUGAUUUGAAAAUUUAACAAAAAAAAGAAGGAAAGAAAGGUUUUUAAAAUAGUAAAAAUAUAGAACUAAAUUCUAAAGUGUCCAUUUAGUUAAUUGUUUAACACAUAAGCAAAUAUGUAACACAAAAAUAGAAAAGAAAUAAAUAGUUUAAAUGUAUUAUUUUGGUAAAAAAUUCUAUAUAGGGAGCUCAAAGAGAUUUUUGAGUCUAUUUAAACAAAUACUUUCAUGUCUACUAAACAUAUAUACAUUACAUAGAGAAACAUUAAGAGUAAAGUUGAUUGUUAGAAAUGACUAAGUUUUUCUUUUCACAAGUAGUUGUCUUUCUUCUUAUCAUUUCAGGUUUGAUAAUUUUCCAAUUUCAAGUUAAAUUUUUCAUUGAUCAAUAAUUUGUUGUAAUUGUAUUUUGUAUUAUUUUUCAGUUAUUUCAGGAAUAAGCGUAGCAGAUGCCCAAAGAUGUCAAAAAGUGUUAGACCCCAAAAGCUGCAACCUCCAACAAUGUCGAUCAGAUUGCUUCAAAAUGUUUCAAAAUUUUCGACCGUUUGGACAAUGCAUUCGCAACAAUAGUAAUAAUACUUUUGGAUGUGUGUGCAUCUUUGAUUGUCAUGCAAAACCGAAUUUGGUGUAAACUUAGUCACUCGUGACAUGUACCAAGUUCAAGAGGGUGAAAGAGAUAUAAGGUUAUUAAAAGUUAACCAAUAAACAUGAAUUUUGUGACUGAAAAUUUCACAUUUGUCCCUUCUUUGUUAAAUGUAUUUGUCUUUUCGUUUUUUCUUUUGAAAAAAAUAUAAAUUAAUUUGAUUAUUCUUUUUCUAAAAAUAAAAAAAGAUUAAUCAUUUUUAAGGUCUUUGCAUAAAAUAAAUGUUCUUUUGUUCAAAAAUUACAAUUUUAAAUAAUUUUUUUUAUAAGAAUGGAUAUAACUUUAGAGUGAUUCAACUUUUAUUUUAAAAUCAUAUCUAUCACUAAAAUCGUGUCAUUCAAAUACAAAUUAUCCAUUUUCAUUUAAAAACACAUUUUCACGAAAAAUUGUAAUUUCUAAAAGAGGCACACUACUAUACUGCUAAAAGAAAACUCUUCUAGUGCAAUAGUCCCCUUCUACUAGUUGUUAAUUUUCUAUUUUCACAUUAGAAAUGAGAUUUUUUACUACUUGGUGAGAUUUAAUAUUUUUAUUAAAUAGUCACUUGAAUGAAUAUAAAAAUCAAAUACGAUUCGAUUUAAAUGUAAUCUAAAAUUAAAAAACAUUGAACCAAAUUUUUAAUGUUUGAUUUGGAUAAACUUUUUGUCAAUAUAAAAUUGUAAUUUUUUUUUAAAAAAGUCGUUAAAUACUUUAUGAUGACCAUUUGUAAUAUAGCAUAUUUUUAAUCAUUUAAGUUUACACUUUUAACAUUUUUAUACUUAUAAAUAAAUUAUAUAAUCAUAUAAAUUGCAACGCAAAUGUUCUAUUAUAUUGUAAAUGAAAUACAAUCAAAUUUAGACGUAUUCAUAUUCAUAUAAUUUAUAUAUAUGAAUAUUGUUUUGUUUCUUGUUAAUUAAUUCUAAAUAUAUAAUAUAAUUUUUAAAUACAAUAAUAUAUAUAUAUAUGUUUUAUUUUGUUGUUAAUUAAUUCUAAAUAUUAUAUUUAAAUAUGUAACAAUUUUUUUUUUCCAGUUUUGGUUUUGUAUUGAACAAACAUGAGAAAAAAUCCACACUAUUAUCCCAAACAAGCAUUUAAUGCGUUUCUUAAAUAUGUAUUUGCUACAUGCCUAAAACAAUUACAUAAUACUCAAAAUAAAAUAAAAUAAAAUAAAAUAAAUGUCUUUGUAUUAAGCUUAUUAAUUUACUCUUUUCAAUUAAAUAUUUUAUUACUAUUAUAUUUUUAAUAAACUAAUAUAUUGUUUAAUUUCUUCAAAACUUAAUGAAUAGAAAAAUAUCAAUUAAACUUUUUUUAAUACUACUAAAAAAAUUAUUAAAUAAAAAUGAAGUUUAAAAAAAAAGUAAUUAGUUACAUUAUUCAAUAAGCUAGAUACUAUUUUAUAUAUAAAAACUUUAUUUGUAUGUAAAGUAGUUUUUUUAUUAAUAAAAUUUAUAAACCAAAUUUUAACUAACAAAUAGAAACUAAUAUAGAAACCAACUUUUUUUUAGUUUAUAAAAUGGUAUCUAAUUUAGUCACUAUAGCAACUAAUUAUUUUUUUUGUUUCUAAAGUUAGUGUCUAUUUCAUAAUUUUCUUGUAGUGUGCCAAAUUUAAAAUCUAAAUUAAUUGAUAGCUAAAAUCUUGGUAGCUAAUUAAAUAUCAAUUUAAUAAGUACUUUAUGAAUUUUAUUAAUAAUAGAAACUAUCUUAGAUACUAAUAAUUGUUUUUAGUAUUUAAAAUAAUAUUUAAUUUAGUCAAUAUAGUAAUUAAUUAAUUUUUGUUUCUAAAAUUGGUUUUUAUUUAAUGAUUUUUUUUAAUGUAAUUUUAUUUUAGUUUAAUCAUAUUUUUUUAACCUAUGUUUUAACCAUUUUCAAAAUUUAUGGUAUUGGAUUUAAAUGUUUUAAAUAUAUUUAUAUUUAAAUUUACAUUUUGGGGAAAAAAAUUGUUAAUAAUAAAAAAAAAUACUUUCAUGUGAUGGUAGAUGAUUGUUGUUACUUGAGGUGUCAGCCUAGACUAACAUAAAAGCUUUUUAUAAAAAAAAUGAAAAAAAUAUUUUGAUAUCAAUGAACACUACAAUAAUAUUGAAAUUUAGUGAUAAAUCAAUAAGGAUGGAAAAACACUACCCUCUCCAAACAGUGAAAGAAGAUGAUGAUUAUUAAAACUUCUUGAGCUUCAAAAGAAGCUCAAAUUUUCCUGUCAAGAAAAGUUCCUUCUAGAAAUUACUUCAUUUAAGACUUCAUGAACAAGAAGAUAAACAUUUAACUAAAUCAAUUCUCAUUAAUUAAAAAGGUGAGUUACAAGGGUAAGCGGUCUUAUAUAUAGAUGCAUAAGUCCCUUGCGGUUCAUGAUACGUGGAAUGUGAGACUUAAAUUUAAGUCAAAAUGUAGUUGUAAAUGUGUACAAUUUCAUAGUCCUACCUAGCCAAACAACGAUCUUUGCAUUUUCCACUAAAAUUAGCCUAUUCUAGGUGAUGUUGUAAUCUACAAAGUAAUUUAGUUUUAAAGGAAACUUACUGAGAAAGUUAAAACAAAACUACAUCACCAUUCGUUGAAAUAAAACAUUUGAUCUUGGAUUCAUCAUAUUAUCAAGACAAAGAUAAAUCGCACAGACUCAAUACAAGAAAAGACUACCUAAACAUAUUAAGGCACACUAAAUCUUCAUCAAGAUUUCAUCAAACACUUUGGAUCCUUGAGAUGUCGAACAACUAUGAGUUGGUAAACUUUUCUUGUUGUUGAAAAACAAUGUAAGUUAUUGUUGUUUAUGAAAGCAUGUUUUUAUUGGAGAUUCAAGUUUUGUGGAUUUGGUAGUAUGCUUAAUGGUGAAGAAUGAUCAUUGAUGCCCUUGCAUCAUAAAUCAAUUUAGAAGGCAAGUUCAUGUAUCUGAACUCUAAAAAACCAACCAUAUAUCUCAAUAGCCACAGAGUGUGAAAAUGAGAAUAUGGUGAACUGUUUCAUCUUAAUGCAAAAAUAAGCUAUGACAAAUCAAUAAAUUAAUUGGGAUAGUUUAAGAUUCCAAAUACACCUGUGUAAGGAAUCAACUUGGUUUGACUAUAAGAAACAGAGAACUUGAACAAAUAUGGUGUUUAUAAAUAACAAUAAUAAGAUAAAUUCACUAAGUUCUUUAUAUCUCAACACUUGUGUUAUACUAAUUAUCCUUUACUUCAUUCUUUUGUCAAAGUUUCAUCUCUCACUAAAUAUUAUAGUAGGAUUAGUAUAGUUAGUUAUUUAUAAAAUAUAUGCAACUAAUCUCUAUCUUUGCACCACUUCAUCUUGAAAGUUAUCUUUACUAUGAUAAACAUUAAUGCUUUGUGGAUAUAACACUCCUCAGUUCUACUACAAUUAACUCGGUCUACUUGUUGAAAUAAGAAUUUUAAAUCCAUCCCACCAGCAGAAAGUUACAAGUUUUACAAAUUUUCUUUAUAAUGAGAAAGAGGAGGUGUUUUCCAUUAUAAUAUAAUUAAUUUUUAUAAAGUUAUUAAACAUCUCAUUUAUGAAAUAUGAUGUAUUUAUUAUGUUUAAUAAAUGUAAUUAUAUCAAUUAUUACAUAACUACUACUAUGGAGUUAUAUAUUAAAAUAUAUAAAGAACUUAAUAAAUGAAAUAUAAUAAUAAAUAUAUUAUUAUGAUUGAUAAAUACAUAACGUUUGAAGUAACUUUAUACAUAAAGUGUACAACUAAAUUAAAAUUAAUUACUACUUCAUCAAUACAUUUCAUCACAUAUUAUUAUAAGGAAAACACAAAAAAAAAAUCAUUAAAGAAAAAUUAUUGGUAUAUAAAGUAAUUUUUAUUAUUAAUAAAGAAAUUUAUAAAAUAGUUUUUAAAGUGAUAUCUAACUAUUAUUUACCAGGGUUUUAGCUAUUACCUACUUUAUAUUCAAAUUUAGUCUCCAUUAGUCUUAUAAAAAUUAAUUUAAAAUCUAAAAUAUUAGUAGCUAAAAUCUUGGUAGCUAAUUCAGAUACUAACUUAGAAACUAUUUUUUAAUUUUUCUUUAAUAAUAGAAAUCACUUUAAAUACCAAUAAUGUUUUAAUUUAUAAAAUUAUAUCAAAUUUAGUCAAAAUAGUGACUAAUUAUUUUUUAUCUAUAAAUUUGAUUGUUAUUUAAUGAUUUUUUUAAGUGAAAUUUUGAGAAAAAAUACCAUUGCACUGUUUAUUUCCUCUCUCAUAUCAUAUUGUGUCAAAUAUUUACACAAAUAACAUAUUAUAUCAAAUAAUUAGCCAAAUAGCACGGUUUAUUGCAAUAAUUCAAAAUUUGAUUUCAGUUUUCACUAUUUAAAAAAAAAAAUUAUGUGAAAUUGUCAAACCAAAAUUUCCAAAAAAAAUUAAUUCAACAUUCAUAAAUGUCAUCUUGUUAAAAAGAAAUCUUAUUUACAUAUUUUUCUAAAUAACUAUUGUUUAAAAUAUAUAUUUUCAAAUACUUAUUUAUUGAAAUAAUUAUUUUCUAAAUCAUUAUAUUUUAUAUAAUUUUUCUAAAUAAGAUUUAAGAAUGAAAUCGUAUAAUUUUUUUAAAAUAAUUUUUUUUUUAAAAACUCAAAACUUAUCAAUUAUAAUCUGCCCUUCAUUAAAUAAAAUCAAGUUUAGACUAGAACCCAAUACUAGUGCGGUAUUUUUUGUAAAAAAAUUAUAGUUCAGAAUUCGAUUACAUUUUGAACUUGAUUUUAUUUUUUUAUUUUUUUUAAUUUAAAAAUGAAGGAAACAUAAUUUAUGAAUUUUAGUUUUUAUAAAAUAAUUAUUUUUAAAAAACUAGUUUGAAAAAUAAUUUCUUAAAAAAUAUUUAUAAAAUUAGUUAUAUAAAAUAUAAUAAUUUAGAAACUAAUUAUUUGAAAGAAAUAAUUAUUCACUAAAAUAUAUGUUUUAAACAAUAAUUAUUUAGAAAAAAAAUGUAAAUAAGAAAAAUUUGUGCACAAGGUUAACAGUUAUAAAUUUUUAAAUUAUUAACUUUUGAAAUUUUGGUUUGAAAAUUUAAGAGCAAAAAGGAAAGAAAAGUUUUAAAAAUAGUAAAAAUAUAGAAAUAAUUCUAAAGUGUCUGUUUAGUUAAUUGUUUGAAACAUAUGUGCUAUUUAAGCAAAUAUGUAACACAAAAAUAGAAAAUAAAUAAAUAGUUUAAAUGAAUUAUUUUGGUCAAACAUUCUAUAUAGGGAGCUCAAAUAGAUUUUUGAGUCUAUUUAAACGAAUAUUUUCAUGUCUACUAAACAUAUAUACACUACAUAGAAAAACAUUAAGAGCAAAGUUGAUUGUUAAAAAUGACUAAAUUUUUCUUUUCACAAGUAGUUGUCUUUUUCCUUAUCAUUUCAGGUUUGAUAAUUUUUCAAUUUUAAGUUGAUUUUUUCAUUGAUCAAUAAUUUGUUGUAAUUGUAUUUUGCAUUAUUUUUCAGUUAUUUCAAGAAUAAGCGUAACAGAUGCCCAAAGAUGUCAGAAAGUGUUAGAUCCCACAGGCUGCACCCUCCAACAAUGUCAAUCAGAUUGCUUCAAAAUGUUUCAAAAUUUUCGUGGGGUUGGAAAAUGCAUUCGCAACAAUAAUAAUAAUACUUAUGAAUGUAUGUGCAUCUAUGAUUGUCAUGCAAAACCGAAAUUUGUGUAAACUUAGCCACUCAUAACAUGUACCCAAUUUAAGGUUAUUAAAAGUUAACCAAUAAACAAUAAUUUUGUGACUGAAAAUUUCACCUUUACCCAUUCUUUGUUAAUUGUAUUUGUCUUUUCAUUUUUCUUUUUUGAAAAACAUAUACUUCAUUAAUUUGAUUGUUCUUUUUUUAGAAAUAAAAAGAUUAUCUCAUUUUUUUAAUGUCUUUGUAUCAAAGUAACUCUUCCUUUGUUCAGAAAUUACGAUUUUGGAUAAAAAAAAAUCAUGAAAAUGUGUAAGCUGUAUGUGUACAACUUUAGAGUGAUACAACUCUCAUUUUGAAAUCGUAUCCAUAAAUACAACUUCCCCUUUGAAAUCAUAUUUAAUUUAUUAUGUUAAAGAAACUUAUCAUAUAAUAAUUAUAAUUCUUUAAUGAAAUUUAACUUCAUAUUGUAUUCAUAUAUCAGACUCUAUUAGAAUGAUUUGUUGUAUAGAAUUAUAAAAUCGAUAAUUUAUGGUUAUUGUAUAUUUUUAUUUUUUAUCUUUAUCAUAUUAGAAUUUAUUAAAAUGAAUUACAAAUUCAUGUGUUAGCACAAUUAAAAGUGUCUAAUUUUAUAAUAAUUCUUUUAAAAAUCACAUUGAAAUAUAAAACUAUUAAUAAAAAAAAUAUGAAUCAAAUAUAAAAAUUGAUUAUUCAAAAUUUGAAGUAAAUAUAAAAUUUGAUCAAAUUAAAUAAUAUUAAUAUAUUUUUCUUAUACAUGAAUUUUCAACAAUAACACUAAUUGGAUGAUCAUGUCCACAUAUUUAAAAAAGGAGUUGAAAUAAUACACAUAAAUUAUUUAUACUUUGGAGACCGUGUAUAUUUGAUUUUUUACUUUCAAUCAUUAUUAUAUGUAUUUAUAUUUAUUUAAAAAAUUAUAAAUUUAUAUUAUAAAAUUUUAAUUUUGUUAGUAUCAAAUUUUUAUUUAAUGUAUAAUAUUUUUUAAAAAAAAUAAUUAUAUCAAAGAAAAUUUCUUAUCAAUUGAUAAUACAACUUUUCUUACACAUUAAAUUCUAACAAGCGGAUAGAGUAAUUGAAUAAAUUAACUUCCUAAGGUAUAAAAAAAAGCAGUUAUAUAUGUAAGAUAUAGUGAUCAAAUAACUCAAUAAAUUGGAUGAUAUAAAAUAGAUAAUUUACUGAUUUUUUUGUCAUGAAAAGUAAAAAAAAAAAAGAGAAGGAAGAAGAAGCACCCGCUCUUGAAAAAACUGGCUUCAUAACCAAAAUGGUUAUGAAUUAAGAAUACACACAAAAGUAUAAAAUGUAAGAUUAAUCUCAUGGUCAGGUCCAGGCUCAGGCCAUGAUAAAUGAAUAUGGGCUAAUUCUACUUGCACCAGAUCAAUUGUGAUGUGCACCCAUCAUUUUUUUAAAACCCCAAAUUGCCUUUGUUAUCAUUUUCGGAUUUUCUUAUCCGGAAUGAGAAAAAAAACUUAUGGAUCUUAGCGUUCGGAAGACAUUCCUGUGUUACGGAUGAUCAUAUCUGGAAGACACAUCUCAAUUAUGGAUUUGCAUAUCUAGAACUGCGCAGAUAUGGAUAUCCAGAAGAUUAAGGAUAAAAUACAUAUUUUUUUUAUAUAGGUAUUGAUCUGUAGGGAGAAUUAGCAAUGAACAUGCACAUUUUAGGCCCAUUCAUUUCUGGGCAAUUUCUUCCUACACCAUAUCAAUUCUAACCUCCACCCUAUCAUUUUUCUAAAUUUCUAUAAUUACCCUUAUUCUGUAUUUAAAAUUCCAAAAUAAUAAAUAUAAUUCAAAAAUAAAAAAAUUAAAAAAAUCUAGAACACAAAAUUGAAAAAGCAUUCUGGAUAAAAAUUCCCAGAAUUCAAAAAAUUAUUCUGGAUAUCUAAAUCUUGAAUAUUUUUGGAUAAAAGAUUAUGGAAGUAAUUUUUAUUUACACCCUUUUUUAUUAUGAUUAUUUUCGUUAUUUUGGAAGGGUAUUUUUGUCAUUUUGAAUAAUAGGUUGGGUGCAUGUUGGAAUUUAUAUGGUGCAGGGAGCAUUUGCCUCAUUUCUGUGGUUUGGUUAUAUCUCGUUUGUCCAAAUUCACCAGCAGGGUACAUGGCAGACUGAGGCCCAAUAUCAAGCCAAUGCAUGAUAUUUAGGGGGCAAUUGCUUCCUGUACCCGAUCAAUUAUGAUUGGCACCCGACGAAUUUUUAAAAAUUCCAUUGUGCCCUUCUCUUCUUCACUUUGAAAAAUAGUGUAUGGUGAGUUGCAGAAGGAACUUGAUUUUCUUUAGAUUUGAGAUGCAGAAGAGGAUAUUUUACUCCAGAAAUGAAAAUGCGCACAACUAUAUUCCGCACACAAAUAUCCAGAAUUCAUUCACACCUUCCGAAUGAAAUCAUUGCAGUUCACGACUACUACCUUCCGCAUACAAACAUCCGGAAGUGAUUUAAACACUUUUGGAUCAACAUAUCCACAACACACAACUUGAUUUCGUACAACAAUAUCCAGAAGUCACAAAAUGAUUUCCGCCUAAAAAUUCCGCAACGCACACGCACACUUUGUCUUCUCCGAUGCCUUCUCCGGUGCCUUCGUUCACUAUCGCAGAUGAUGCUCAAACCUUCGCAUAACAGUGGACGACCAUCAAGCUCUUGGGUUCAUAUUUGUUCAAGCCUCCACUGUCGGAGAAAUGCAAACGAAGGUGCGAGAAUGCGAACCACGGUGUUGGGUGCGAGAAUGCGAAUCACGGUGUUGGGUGUGUGAUUGGGUGCGAGAAUGGCAGAGACGAAGGGUGUGUGAUUGGGUGCACAAAACAAUUAACCUAAUUUCAUUUUCAUUAAGGGUACUUUGGUACUUUCACAAACGCAAUUGGGUGUAGGUCAGGUUUGAUUGGGUGCAGGGAGAAUCACCCUAUUUGGGGGUAUGACGCCAGGCAUGGCUCAAUUAUUGCUUGGUUGCAUCGAUUUUCAUCUCAUCCUAGUUUAUCUUCUCUUGUCAUGUUCUUUUCCCUUUCAAUAUUUUGUUUUCUUCUUCUUUCUCUUUCCAACUAUUUAUAUAGACUCAACUGCCUUUUUUUUUUUUAUCACACUUGUAACCUAUGAAGCUCCGACACGGUCGGUGACGGCCGCUUCCGCGCGUUGGACGCGUAUUGGACACGGAUACCUGACCGACACAAGGUCAACACCGUGUCGAAUGUUUAUGCAUAGUAUGAGAACUAUCAAAUUUCAUGAUAGUUAAGAUACUCAAUAAUGUCCCAGCAAGAGACUUAUCAAUAGUUUGGGAGCGCUCUUCCACAAAUCUCAUAAAUUCUUUUGCACUUCCAGUUUUGGGAAGAGAAAACUUAAUAUUAUUUGUUAUGAUCAUUCACAUAAACAUCACGCUAGGUCUGUUUGACCUUUUCCAAACCCUAUAAUGAUUUUUCUCUUCAAUGCUGCUAGCAUCAGUAAUAACAACAUGUUUAUCAACUUCAAAGGUCAAAUCAAGAUCCAACACACCUAAGUAAAAUUGGACUUGUUCACUCCAAUUAGGAAAAUUCAAUCCAUUAAAGACAAAAAUAGACUUAGCAUGCGAAUGUAAAGACACGGGAAAAAAUACUACAAUUAACACAUGCUUAACAUCAAUACUUUGAGUCAUAAACUAAACNNNNNNNNNNNNNNNNNNNNNNNNNNNNNNNNNNNNNNNNNNNNNNNNNNNNNNNNNNNNNNNNNNNNNNNNNNNNNNNNNNNNNNNNNNNNNNNNNNNNUCCUUUGAGUGAUACAUUAAUACACAAAACAUAAUGAUGUUAAUAAUAUUAACAUUACUUGAUAGGACAUAUGCAUUAACUAUAAAUAUUUGUUAUCUUUGGAUGUACAAAAUAAAACUAAUAACACAUACUCACUACCAACAAUCAUAUCCAUUAAUUAUAAGUACAAUUAAUCAACCUUUGGGCGAUCCACAAAUGCCUUAUAAUAAUGAAUUUCAAUUAACCCAUAAAUAAAUAAUAGUUUAGCAUUCAUUCUGUAGAUAAUUGAAAUAAAAUUCAUCACUAAUUUGGAAUUAAAUAAAACAUAAAGAUUUGAUCACUUUGUCGAAUACAAAUCUAUCAUACAAAUAAUUCCAUAAAUAAUAUCGUUCGUGAAGUUUGGAAUUAAAAAAAAUAUAAAGAUUUGAUCACUUUGGUGAUUACAAAUCUAUUAUACAGGAUACUUUUAAAUGCGCGGAGAAGAAGACUAUGAAUGAAGUUAUGAUGAAAAGAAGAAGAUGAAGACUUACUUAAUACUCAAUACAUUUAGUUAAUAUAAUUAUACAUCUUAAUACUCAUGUGGUACAAAUAAGAAAAUAGUGAAAUAGUAAAUGGGAUUCGAAGCUAGCUUUCUUCAGAUAACCCAAAGAACAUUUAACCACUACACCAAGCAAAUAGUUUAGUAUGAUUAUGAUUUUUAUUAUACUUAUUAUUAUUAACAAUAUUAAUAUUAAUAAUAUGAAUAUAAUAUUAAUAAUAUGAAUAUAAUAUUAAUAAUAUGAAUAUAAUAUUAAUAAUAUGAAUAUAAUAUUAAUAAUAUUUAUAAUAAUAUUAAUAAUAAUAUUAAUAAUAAUAAUAUUAAUAAUAAUAUUAAUAAUAAUAUUAAUAAUAAUUUUAAUAAUAAUUUUUAUAAUAAUUUUAAUUAUAAUAAUAAUAUUAAUAAUAAUAAGUAUAAUAAAAAUAAUAAGAUGACCAAAGAACUUGUCUGGUCUAACUUGCAAUAUUAAUAUGGGGCUUUGGUUCGAGUCCUAUGACUCGAGUUCUAUCCAAAUACAGAAUAUUAUUAAAAAAUAUAUAUAGGUAUAAGAAAUUAAAAAUAAUUUUUUGUACAAUUAACCUACUGAUCCAAAAUCCUAGUUACUACAAACAGAAAGAAAAUAAAUAAAAAAGCUUUUCACAUAUCAACACUACAUAGAUUCAAGUGUAAGAAGAUUGCUUUGAUUGCUUAGAAAUUUGAUGUUCGGAACAUAAAUUCAAGUGCUCUUAUGGAUUUAGAAAAUUAUUGAUUAAACAUGUUAUAUAUCGACACAUUUAAUCAAUUAUUUUUAAUGAUUUUAUGAAAACUGUUUCAGUUUUAAUCGAUUAAAACACGUGAUAAUCGAUAAAAUUAGUUCUUCAUUAAUUAUAAAAUACUUUUAAUUGAUUUUUGUAUAAAAUCAUUUUAAAAUAGUUUUUAAUCUUUUAAAAACAUUUAUACUCUUUUAAACUUUUGUUAUACGCUUUAUACGCUUGAUCAUACAUAUGAAAUACUUUUAUGUGAGAGACUCUAAAAUCAAACACUUUAAAUAGGUUAUGCUUGUCUUCAAAUUAUUUUAAACAAUUUUUAUCAAAUUGUAACAUUUGCUCAUCGAGAAUUACUUUAGAUUUUAAUUAGGUGGAACAUAUAUUGCAUGGAAUUAAUUUUUACUGCAUCAAUUUAUGUUCUUAUUGUAAUUUUAUGUUUUCUUUCUUUCUUUUUACCUUUUUAAUAUUGGUUUACAAUUUUUAAAUAGUCACAAUCAUAUCGUGUUAUGUACGAUUAAUAUUAGAUCUAUACAUUUAGAAUCAUCACAUGUUAGGAUAAAAAGUCAACACUAUUAAUCAAUUAGUGUCAGUUUUUAUUCUUUUUUGCAUGGACUUUGCCAUCAAUAAUAGGUUGUUUUCUUGCAAUACAUUUUGUAUAUACUAUAUUUUUUUUAAUAUAUAUGUUCUUUCUUAUUAGAUAACAUUACUAUAUUCAAUUAUGUUUGCAAGUUUUCGUAGUAGUUAAAACUAACAAAAUCAAAGCCAUUUUUUUUUAUAAAAAUUGAAUUUGAUAUUUUACACGCUAAUUAGAGUAUUGACCAUACAGUAUUUUACUUUUCUCGUACCCUCAAGCUAAAAACAUAAUAUUACUAUUAGUUUGAGAAAAUCAACCCAAAUAUGAUUUUGAUUCUAAGUCCAACAAAUAAAAUACAUUUACGGGUUACAAUUAGCACAAAGAGUUAUCUUCUAAAAAUAAAUACACUUUAAACCAAUUUUUAGCAUUAUUUUUCCAUAAAGACUCCUACUUCAAUACAAUAGUUCUAUUAAAACUAAAGAUAUUAAAUGGGAUAUUUUAGAUCAAAUAUAUACAAUUUAUUAACAAUAUUAAAUAUUUUUUAAAUACGAUGCAACAAUCUUAAACAUAAAAAAUUUAAGGAGAGGAAAGGCAUCAUAAUUCAUAAACCCGGUCAACAUAUCAUGAUCAUGCAUGAGUUCAAUAUCUUGCAAGGAAAAUUAAUAUUUUAAAGAAAAAUGUUACUUUCAUAUAAUUGUGAUUCAGUCAAUAUAUAUAAUUUUAAAAUUAUUCUGCUUUAAUAAAAAGUUAUUUUUCUUUUCAAUUAUAAUUUAAUGCAGAAUUAUUCAUACAUCAACAUUUUAUUUUAAGAAAAAUCUAAUCUGCUAAACAAAUUGAUAUUCAUGAAUGAUGACGAUAGAAGAGUUAAAAUAACUAAGAGUGGCGUAAAUGAAAGAUAAAUUUGGUUUUAAAUACCUGCAAAUGGUUGAGUUGUUUAUUAUUUCAUUAAUAAGGAUUUAAUUCAACUUGCUGGUAGGUGGGGGUAAUGGAGCAUAGUUAACAGCUGGCUUUCACACUGCAAUUUUUGAAAGAUUCAAAAGUGUUUAACAACUCUUAGAGUUAUAAACUAUUAACCUGUGUCGGUUUCGAUAUUCGUAUUGGACACUCGUAUGAUAAGUAUUCGUGAAGUGUCCAAUUCAAAAAAUAUUUGUUAGAUUUUUGAUAAUUUUAGUACGGUUUUAACAUAAUUUUAAAAAGAAAAAAUAUAUUAAUUUUAAAAAUAAUCUGAAACAUACUUGUGCACAUAAAUCUUUAUUAUCAAUUUAUAUAAUUUAUAAUUAUAUAAUAUAUAAAUCUGUGUUCCGUGUCCUACAUUUUAAAGAUUUUACAUAUUUUUAUAUCUGUGUCGUAUCAGUGUCCAUGUUAGUGUUUGUGCUAUAUAAGUUAUAAAUAAUUAUUGAAGAUUUAGAAAUAAAUAUAUAAUAAAAAAUAAAUUUAUAAUUAAAUAAUAUAAAAAGAUAUAUUAAAAUAAUAGUAUUAGAAGUUAUAUAAAAAAAAUGAGAAUUAUCAUAUUUUCUUUCUUACAAAGUAGCAACAAAAUUGGUUGGUGUAUAUAUAAAACUGAAACGUGAAAGAAAAUGUAAGCAAGGAAUUCCCAUGGCGAACCCAAAUGCAGGAAGGAUCCCUCGCAGACCUCCCAAAUGGACAGACUAUGGUUUCGAAACCAUUGUUAAUGAAAAAUUGGUAUCUAAAGAGACUAAGACAGUGCUGCAGAAGAAGAAGAAGCAGAGUGUUGCUUCAUUCACACUCAUCCAAUCAAUCUCUUUUGCAGUUCUCUGGUUAUGGAGGACGAUCAUCGGAGUUCUUGAUGGCUUCAAGCUUCGAAUUCAGGGGGGGGCUCCCAAGAAGAAGACCCUAGUUAAUGAAAAACCCAAAACCUUCUCUAGAAAGAGUACUAAAAGAAGACAGAAAAGGUAGAUGAUAAAUCACAAAAACUAUGUUUCAGAUUAUGAUUCUGCUGUGUAAUUUCCAGUUCAGAUGCUAAUUAGUGUAUGUUUGCAUUUGUAAGAGCACGGAAUAAUUUGUUAUUACCUUGAUUUCAAUGCAAGUUUUUUGAGGUAGAAUAAUGUGUAGUCCAUGGCAAUUGGCCUCUAACUAGGGGUGCUAUGCGGAGUUGUUCUAAAUUCAUUGCUGAAGAUUAAAAAUGGUUUGAAUUUGUUGUUAAUUUUCUUUUUUCACACAUGCUUACAAACCUCAAACAUUGGUAUUCACCAAUCGGUGUUUCAAAUAUUUUUAUGAAUUUAAAACAUAUCAACAGCCUCCAAUUUCUCCAAUUUCUUUCUUUAAAACCAAAUAACAGGUAGACGCAAUGUAAAGUUGUGCAAAAAAUUUGAAAUACAACUAUAGAUAUUUUUGGGUGAAACUAGUUUUAGAAUCUAUACCAGUAAUCUAAUUUUAAUUUGUAAUAGGAUUGUAAAGAGAGAAAAAGUCAACAUAAUCUACUCGAUCGAUAUAACUCAGCCAACUCCACAAAAUGAGCAACGACAGGUUUUACACAUGCCUAGUUACAGCCACCUACAGCCACACACAGAGCUCUCCCUCCUCCAAGAGGGGCCUAUGAGUAUACAAGCCCUAAACUUGUUUCACCUGUUUACCAAGGAGUUCAUGUAAGUUCAAUUACCAUACUCCCUAAGGUGGCCAACCUUGGAGAAGUUUGAUGGCACCACUGAUAUGAAUGCAUACAUAAAUGCCUACUUCACACAAGCCAACCUCUUCACCUGUGAUAAAAAAAAAUACAAUGCAGACUAAUUCCCACAUCCCUGAAAGGAGCAGCUUUGGGAUGGUAUUACUCAUUACCAGCUAACUCCAUUGACUCAUUUUACAACUUUUAUGGGUUCACAACUUGGUUUGUUGAUAGAAAACCUGUCCUUGUCAACUUAGUGUCACUUCAGCACAUUGUUUAAGGGGAAACCGAGUCCUUGAAACAAUAUAUGAAUCAUUUUGCCAAGGCGUCAUUGAGGUCGCUGCGAUGUACACCAUUAAAGUUGAACUUCAUCCAUGUUCUUUUUUCAAACACCUUGUACGCUGAUCCAUCCUUUAAUAUGGACGAGCUCCUAGCACGAGCUACUCAAUGCAUGAGCAUAGAAGAAAAUAAUGUUGAGGCAAGGAAAAAAGCUUACAAGGGUCUACUUCCUAAUCCGGUUUUUUGACCAUGAUGGGGUUAUUUUUUUGUUUUUACCAAAAUGGGGUCCGUUUAAAAAAUAUUACAAAUUUAGGCAAGUCGUGCUUAAUUGGGACGACUUCAUAUGCAGAAGCCGUCCCAAUUAGGCAUGACUUCUGCCAUGUCAUACUAAAGUCGUGCCAACUUGGUACGACUUCUGCCCUGUCAUACUGAAGUCGUGCCAACUUAGCACGACUUCUGCCAUGUCAUAAUUUUUUAUUUUAUUUUUAAUUUUAUUGUUUAUAUAUUGGGUAGUAAGUUAUGUAAUGUUAAAAAUUAAUUUCUUCUCAUCAUUACGUGUUCUGUAAAAUCAUUACUUCUCAAACUAUUUAUUUUGCAAAUUCACAACAAUAAUUCUCUAUUUAUUUUCCAAAUAUAAUAAUUUAUCAUUUAUCUAUUUAUUUUCAAAUUCAAUAACAAUUUUCUUCAUUUUUUAAUUAAUCAAGUUAUUGUAUUACAUUACCGUCAAACAUGAUUCAUACACGAUUAUCCAAUUUUUUGUUCCUUAAAACUAACACUCUUAGAAAAUUAUGUAUCAAAUUAAUUUUUAACAUUACAUAACUUAUUAUCCAAUAUAUAAACAAUAAAAUAAAAAUAAAAAUAUGACAUGGCAGAAGUCGUGCCCACGACUUCUGUAUGACAAGGCAGAAGUCGUGUCAAGUUGGCACGACUUCAAUAUGACGGGGCAGAAGUCGUGCCUAAUUGGAACGAUUUUUGCAUAUGAAGUCAUGGCGAAUUGGCACGACUUGCCUAAAUUUGUAAUUUUUUUAAACGGACCCCAUUUUGGUAAAAAAAAAAGAAAAACCCCAUCAUGGUAAAAAAACCUCAUAAUCCACUGUUUCAAAAAGAAGCGUGUUGGGAAAUAUGAAACAUACACCCCUCUCAACACUACUCAGGAUGCCAUCCUCAAAGAAGCCUCACCUUCACCUUCACAUGCUGACCCAACCAAUAGGUUCAGUUACCAUAAAAAAUCAAGGUCACAUUGCUGAAAACUUCUACAAAGUACGUGACAUUAUUGAAAAGUUGAUACUGUCAAGGGCUUUGAACUGAUUUGUCCAAAACAACCAAGUUGGUCAAGGAUGAGGAUGUGGAGGUGGAUGAAGAAGAUCUCAAGGUUUUCGCAAAGGUUAUCAGGGAAGAGGAAGAGGAGUGUCACCCCGAGCGAAAGCUACAACAACGCCACCUUCUCCUAACCCCCUCCUCAAGCUACACCUAAAUCGUAACAGCCUCAAGAUCUUGAUGAAUAUAGGCAUAUUAUGCAUCACAAUUGGAGGAUUUGUAGGAAGAUGAAGUUCUAAGUCGUCCCGAAAAAGGCAUCUAAGGAGUAUCAAUGCAAUUAAAUCCUUAACACCUCAGACACUUCCCCAUCACAUUUACAAAUUCAUAUUUAUGUCCUAAUGAUCCUGAUCACCAGUACUCAAAUUCGCCGGGGAGCGAGUGCUCACUCUGGGAUAUAUAGACCUGCUUACUACAUUUCCCAAAUCCACUACUCAAAUUUGUUGGUGAGUCAGGGCUCACCAGGAGAUAUAUAGAUUUCCUCACUACAUUUGGGACCAGCAUCACACUACACCUUGACGAUAAGGUAUAUUUGGGUUGAAGCAGACACCUCGUAUAAUGUGCUCAACAAACAUCAAACUCUCUUAUAUAUGUUUGAAGGUGCCAUACCCUAGUGUAACUUUUAGAGUCUUCCAUAUCUUAUUAGGAAGGUCUUGGCAAUUUAACAAGAAAACUACUCACAAUGGCCUUACCAACGAGAUAACUUUUACUCAUAAUUCUAAAAAGUUUGUGCUUUUUUCUUUAACACCUUCACAAGUGAUAGAGGAUCAAGUGCAAAUGAAACUUUUUAAUGUAUAUAAAUGGCUUGCUUCUAUUUUUAAGCAAGUUGGACAAUGGAGUAGAAAUUUUAUUUGGACUGGUGAUAUUAUGAAAAAAGGUAUAUCUACGGUUAAUGGAUGAUUGAAGAUUAAUAACCUCCAGUACGAAAAUACUAUUUACAGUCUCAAGCUUACUUGAAACUUUGCUUAUAUUAAUAAGCCUUGGUCUCUUCUCAUGAAAGCUAGAGUUCUUAAAUCUAAGUACCAUGUCAAAUUGGCUUAUAGAUCCUCUUCUAUUUGGCCUGAGAUUAAACAGUUUUAUGGCACUAUUCUUGAACAUACAACUUAGACUGUUGGUACAUGUACUUAUAUUAAUUUCUGGAAUGAUAAAUGGUGUUCUUCUACUUGUUUAUCAAAGAUUGCAUGGGUACUUGAUGGUUCUAGAACCCUGGUGACCACAGUUUCCCAAUUUUGGAACGAUAGUGAUUGGAUUCCCUUGACUUUGUAAUAGGUGAAUCAUUUUUCUGAACAUAUCAUGAUUAGGUAGGAACAUGAUACUCCUAAUUAGAGACUUGAAGACUAUGGUCAUUUCACUCUCAAAUAUGCUAGGAAUUUUUUCUUGGAUCCAAGGGUUCCUUGUGAUUGGGGUAAGAUCAUUUGAUUUCAAUAUAUUCCUCCUUCCAAAACUCUGGUGCUUUGGAAAGUUUUUCCUGGGCGACUUGUUAUGGAUUACCACAUUCAACACAAAGCUUUUUUGAAUGUCCUAAUGCUUUGCAUAUUUGGAGUUGGAUUCGGAAAUUUUUUCUUAAUUCUCAUUUUUCUAUGUGGAUGAUCUCCUUUCUUUUAUUAAGACCAAUGAUAGUGCUUUGGUUAAUUUGAUUAAACUUGUUAUGGUUACCUUCUUUAUUUGGAUGAUAUGGCAUAUAAGAAAUUACGCUAGAUUUCAGGUGAAGAUUGAUCUUUCCAUGGCCAUUUCCACUAUUUAAGAUUUCACUUGCCUAGUGGAUAAUUCUUCUAAAAGCUCUAUGAGAAAAGAUAUGUUCAACUUCAAUGUGCUUAAAUUCUUUGAUAUUAAUACUCAUAGUGAUAAAGUUUUUCUUCAUAUUCCUCUUCAACUUCUUCUUUGAUUUUCUGUUUUAAUCUGUUAAAAAAUAGAUAAUCCAUUAAUUUGUUCUUAAUCUUAUUAUCAUGAUCAAUUUAAUCAAAACAAUAAUUGAUUGUUUUUUUUUAUGAAAUCAUUUUAAAAUAAUUUUUCAUCUUUCAAAAACAUUUUUACUCUUUUAACUUGUUAUACGCUUGAUCAUACAUAUGAAAUACUUUUAUGUGAGAGACUCUAAAAUCAAACACAGUGAAAGCUAAGACACUUAGACACAUCAAGAUUGGUUUCACAUUUUAUAUUAUACCCUUAACCCGUUUGAAAACCUGUUGCUGUUAAAUUAUGAACAUUUCACUUGUGAACUUUUAGGUAGUGUUGUCAUGUUUUGGUUAUGCUUGUCUUGAAAUUAUUUUAUACAAUUUUUAUCAAAUUGUAACAUUUGCGCAUCGAGAAUUACUUUGGAUUUUAAUUAGGGGCACAUAUAUUGCAUGGAAUUAAUUUUUACUACAUCAAUUUAUGUUCUUAUUAUAUAUAUAUAUAUAUAUAUAUAUAUACCCUUUUAAUAUUGGUUUACAAUUUUUAAAUAGUCACAAUAGCGAAUGUUAUGUACCAUUAAUACUAGAUCUAUACUUUUAGAAUCAUCACAUGUUAGGAUACAAAGUCAACACUAUUAAUCAAUUAGUGUCACUUUUUAUUCCUUUUUUUGCAUGGACUAAUUGCUAACAAUAGGUUGUUUUCUUGCAAUACAUUUGUUUUAUACUAAUUUUUUUAAUAUGUUCUUUCUUAUUAGGUAACAUUACUAUAUUCAAUUAUGUUUGCAAAUUUUCGUAGUAGUUAAAACUAACAAAAUUAAAGUAUUUUUUUAUACUUGAUUUGGUGGCAGAAAUAAGCAAUUACAUUUAGUGAUCGAAAGAAAAUAAUAACUUAAAAAUAAACAUUUUCAGUCGCUAAUUUGGUGGUUGAUUCAGUGACAAAAAUAAGUAAUUAUAUUUAGCGACAGAAAGAAAAUCAGUGGCUAAAAAAUAAACAUUUUAGGUCGCUAAUUCGGUCGCAAAUAUAUUUUUUCAAUUUAUUCAAAAUAGUCAUCACUUUAUUGACUGAUGAUUUUGUCACUAUCAUGUUCAGUCGUUGAUUCAGUUGUUAAACUAACUAACAUACUUAACAAUUCAUUUGAUUGUUAUUUCGAUCGUAGAUUUGAGACUGAGGAUUCAGUUGUUAAACUACAAUUCAUUUGAUUGUUAUUUCGAUCGUAGAUUUGAGACUGAGGAGUCGCAAAUUCCGACCACUCAUUUUCAAUCGCUGAAUUCAAUAACUAAAUAGUUAUUUUUCUUGCAUUACUAAUUAGAGUAUUGAGCAUACAAUAUUUUACUUUUCUCGUACCCUCAAGUUAAAAACAUAAUAUUACUAUUAGUUUGAUACCAACUCAAAUAUGAUUUUGAUUCUAAGUCCAACAAAUAAAAUACAUUUACUUAGCACAAAGAGUUAUCUCCUAAAAAUAAAGACACUUUAAACCAAAUUUUAGCAUUAUUUUCCCAUAAAGACUCCUACUUCAAUACAAUAGUUGUAUUAAAACUAGAGAUAUUAAAUGGGAUAUUUUUUAUCAAAUAUAUACAAUAUAUUAACAAUAUUAAAUAUUUUUUAAAUACUAUGCAACAAUCUUAAACAUAAAAAAUUUAAGGAGAGGAAAGGCAUCAUAAUUCAUAAACCCGGUCAACAUAUCAUAUCAUGGUUAUGCAUGAGUUCAAACAAGGAAAAUUAAUAUUUUAAAUAUAUAUAUAUAUAUAUAUAUUUAAAAUUAUUUUAUUUUAAUAAAAAAAUAUUUCUCUUUUCAAUUAUAAUUUAAUGCACAAUUAUCAAUAUAUUAACAUUUUAUUUUAAGAAAAACCUAAUCUGCUAAAUAAAUUGAUAUUGACGAUAGAAGAGUUAAAAUAAUUAAGAGUGACGUGAAUGAAAGAUAAAUUUGGUUUUAAAUAUCUGCAAAUGGUUGAGUUGUUUAUUAUUUCAUUAGUAAGGAUUUAAUUCAACUUGCUGGUUGGUGAAUGGAGAAUUAACAGUUGGCUUUCACACUGCAAUAUUGAAGGAUUCAAAUGUCAAUCAGUUGAUAUAAAAAAAAAAUAUUUUGAUAAUUCUCAGAGUUAUAUAUAAUUUUAAUGGGAUAAAUUUAAAAAUAAAUAUAUAUAAUAAAGAAUAAAUUUAUAAUUAAAUAAUAUACAAAAUAUUAAAAUAAUGAUAUUAGAGGUUGUAAUGUGGUUAUAUAAAAGAUAUAGAUUGUCAAUGUAUCAUUUUUGUUGUUAUAAGGUAGCAACACCAUUGGUGUAUAUAUAUUCUCACAAGGUCGAGAUCCUACGAAAUAACUUUUUCCGUCCAAGUUUUUCGGUCUUCUAGGCCUUUAGGUAUGACGAUCUUCUGUCUGCUCUCCAAUCUUCCAAGCCGGAUGGUAGAUGGGGGUACCUGCGAAGGCGCUCCGACGAUCAAGUCAGUUGGAGUACUAUAUGAAAAUGUUCUUACAAGGUUGGCAUCCUACGAAGUAACUUCUUCCGUCCAAGUCUUUCGAUCUUCCCGGCCUUCAGGUAUGACGAUCUUCUAUUUGCUCUCCAAUCCUCCAAGCCGGAUGUGGGAGGGGAGGGGGGUACAUGCGAAGGCACUUCGACGAUCAAGUCAAUUUGAGUACUAUAUGCAAGUGAGUAGGGAGUGAAAAAUUACCUUUGACGCUGGGUCUCCUCUGGUAUUUAUACCUUUUGGAUGACCUCAACUGUCAUGGGCCUACUCGUGGGUUUAAAAGAGGGUCCAAUCAUGUCUUAAUCAUGUUUUAUCACUAAACUGGCUUAAUUACGGUUAACUGUGGAUUUAUGGGCUAUGCUUGGAUUAAGAGAGUCAGUCAGCCUACUUGACUAAUCGACAAUACAUUUGCCCCCAGGCUCGAGCGGACCGAUUACCAUUUGGCCAUGUUGGCCUACUCGACUAGUCGACAGUACACUUGCCCACAAGCUCGAGUGGAGAAAUUAGCAUUCGACAGUACACUUGUCCCCAAGGCUCGAGUGAAGCAAUUUGAGUGUAACGUAGAGUCUAUAAAAGAAAAAUUGCUUUAUCUUUGGGUAGAUGUCUAUCCCGGGUCAUAUGCCCCUCAGGCCCAAGUAAAGGAACUUUACGCAGGGUCUUAUGUGACUGCUAAGCUGAGUAGUCAUUACUCUGUGUGGUUGGUGCUUCUGUUUGUCUGUUAUGUCGUGUGAUUGCUCAUGUGUCCUCGAAGUCGAGUAUGGCAGCUCAUUGGUACAUUCGAGGCACGUGGAUGUGACAUGGUGUCAGGAGGCUCAACGCGUGAUUUGGACUGUUGAUGCUGAAUUGAUCCAACAGUGGAGAUCGAGUGUGACAGUUUGUAUUUGCCCUUUCUUCUACCUAUAAAUAGGAGUGGUAGUGGAUUUCGUUUUGUAAACGUGUGCCCUAUUUUGUGUAAAUUGGCGGCCAUUCGGUCAUUAAUGGAAUUAAUCUUAACUAAAGAAACUUGUUUCCUUUUCGAUUUUCUUUCUUACAAUCUCGUUUUUACUCAGCUUUCGAUAAGGUGAAUUCUUUCUUGGUCGGAAGGUUUUUUUGACACUCUCUCAGUAGUGAUUCCCUUGGGUGAAUUCUAAGUGAAUUUUACAGACUCUCGAUAGGGAUUUACUUGGGUGAAUUUUACCUUUGCUGAGAAAUUUCUUUAUCGGACUCUCGACAGGGAUUCACUUGGGUGAAUUCCUCCUUAGCCGACGGGUUUCUUAUCGGACUCUUGGUAGAGAUUCACAUAGGUGAAUUCUACCUUCGCCGAGAGACUUCUUUAUCAGACUCUCGGCAGAGAUUCAUGGAGGUGUAUCAUUUGUCGAAAAAUUUCUUUAUCGGACUCUCGGCAUGAAUUCACUUCGGUGAAUUAUACCUUCGUCAAGAGAUUUCUUUAUCGAACUUUCGGUAGGGAUUCACUUGAGUGAACUCACCUUAGUUGAAAGAUUUCUUAUCGAACUUUCGAGGGAUUCAUGUAGAUGAAUUCUACCUCGUGGAAAGCUGUCUAUAUACCGUGUGUAAGUGUUAACCAAACGUUUUUCUUACCGAUGUUUCAACUUUUAAAAACUGUGGACUUAAACUCUCUGUUGAGAGAAAGUACACAUAGGCCAUUCCACCAUCAACAACAACACAUAUUUGGAUCAGUCUUUCUCAAAUCUCAACCUGAAUAAUAACAAAACGGAAAAACAAGAACAACCACUUGCUGGGGCUUCUUCUGAGAAUUCUUCGCGUAAUCGGUGAGACAUGGCUUCAACAAGAGAACGCAAUGUUGACCCCACCAGUUGGAUGUUUCCUAUUCAAGUGUUGCUGGGCACUAUCAGACACGGAGAAGUUGAAGCAUGCAGCAUCUCCAAGGUUCCAGACAAGCUUAGCAAGCCAAACAAGGACGCAUACCUUCCCCAGCUUGUCUCCAUCGGACCCUACCACAGGGGCUCCAAAAACGAUCUCUUGUUGAUGAUGGAACAACCCAAAUGGAAUUACAUGCUCUCUCUUCUAGGACGAUCCCUGUUCCAAGCGCAACAACAAAACAGGGGAGAAGCAAUUGAAGACGGGCCCAGAAUGGUGAAAGUAAUGGGCGAGACCAUUCUGGAGAUAGAGUACAUAGUUCGUGCCAGCUAUGGGGGGAACGUUCAAUCUGAACCCCACGAUCUAGCAAAACUCAUGCUUGUGGAUGGUUGUUUCUUGUUAGAGUUUCUUCACAGGCUUCAGGAGUAUAAGGAAGCCUUGGAGAAUGGUGAUAAUGAGGAGGAUGACCCUCUAUUUGAAAGCCAAGACAAAGUCUUGUCUCUGUUGAGUGACUUGCUUCUGCUUGAGAAUCAACUACCCUUCAUUGUUCUCAAGAAGUUGUACAGAAAACUUUUCCCGGUUCCUGUUCCCGUUGAGCAAGAUCACCGUGUUGCUACUAUGGCAAUGGAAGCUCUGGGCUACCCUUCGGAUGUUCCUACCUCUGGCGCGGCUCAUCUUCUUCACCUUGUUUAUUUGUCCAUCGUGAACCAGGAGGGUAGGAAAAAAACUAGGGCAGCGCAUCAAGAGUUAAAGCGCUGUGCUACUAGGCUUCGAGCUCGCGGAGUAACAGUAAAAGUAAAAGAAGGAGGUAGAAGCAAUACGAACCAGUUUGGUGAUAUCUUUAACUUUGAGAUAAAUUUUGACAAUGGGGUGUUGGAGAUUCCUCAGCUGCGUAUUAAGAAGUCAACGGAAGUGACAUGGAGGAACAUGAUUGCGUGGGAGCAGAGCAGGAUUGUGACCAGUUGCAAAUUGACUUCUUAUGCUUUGUUCUUCCAAGGCUUGAUUUGUUGUACGCAUGACAUCGAACUGCUUCAGCGUGUUGGAGUUAUAGUUAAUGAAUCGGGGAAAAGAAAUGAAGAUUUGCUGAAGCUGUUUGAAAAUCUGUGUGAGGGAGUUGACCAAAUGGAUUGGAGUUAUAGUGAGGUUUGUGCCAAGUUGAAUUCAGACACGGGAACGAGAUCGUUAAGAAAAUGGCCUAUUCUCACUUGGCAUCGCUGCAGAUGUAUCAUUGCAAUUUUUGUUUACUAUUGGAAAAACUGGUUCAGCAUUUUGAUAAAGGAACACAUUCCUACGAUUUGGAAACUCAUAGGAGUGUUGGCAGCUAUGGUGCUGCUAGGCCUCACUAUUGCACAGACAUAUUAUUCAGCAAAGAGCAGUAACUAAUAAAAAACCAAGUCUUGUUUGGUUGCUUUCACCGAUUCCAACUAUAGCAGUGGAGAAUUGAUUUUAAGAUUUAUCUUUUGCUAAAGUUUGAUUUUGUCAAGUUAAUAAGUUCCUGAGUUAGGAACCAGUUGUAAUUGCAAUGCCUGUUACCAUGAUUCAUUUAUCUGUGUGUCUAUGUGAUCUAUUUCUAAAUGAAUUCGUGUCAUCCACUCAUUUUAUAUAUCAAGAACUAUCCAUGAAGUCGAGCUUGUGAUCUAUUUCUAAAGAAAUUCGUGUCAUAUACUAGUGAGCUUAUGCUCCAAUAAACAUGAUACAACCCAAAUCAUUUUUCAGUUAUUAGAUUGGUGUUUCAAACUCAUCCUUUAUGUAAAAACAUUGUAAUAGGUUAGUUAUAAAUGAUUGGUUACAUGUUUUUCCUCCUAUCUUUGUUGCUCUUGUUGUCGCUACUUCUUUAAGGUUUUCUUCACAAUAGCAGAAACAAGAAUAAUGCAUACGAGUGGUGAUGUGUUUUGUGCAGCUUCUGAGCCACAAUAUAUGGUGCUUCUACAUUUUUAGUACUGGUGCAGAGGAGGAAUGUUAUGCUUAUGCAGGAUGCAUAGGAGUUUUUUUUUUUUUUUAAUCUUAAUAGGACUAUAAUUUUAUGUUAUAUGAUGGCUGAGGAAAGAAGUGGAGUAUCUGUUUUGAUUAUGUAGGUUAUGAUAGAUAAAUGCAUGACCUAUAAACAAGUGAGGAGGUUUUAGGUAUAACGGAGAAUGAAAAAAUAUUCUCUGUUUUAUUCAAUCUGUCCUUCAUCUAUAGCAAUGAUACAUAUAUAUAACCAUAGCAUUAGAACCGUACAUAACCGUACAGAUUCUUUUUCUCACAUAACAUCUGUAAUUAAGACUAAUUAUAGACCCAUUAAUAGUGAUUAUAUUCCUAUAAUUAAGUCUAAUUAUAGACUCAUUAAUAGUGAUUAUAUUCCUGUAAUUAAGUCUAAUUAAGUCUAAUAAUGAUUUUGUCCGGUAAUAUCCCCUCAAGUUGGAGCAUGUAAGUCUUGAAUGCCCAACUUGACCAAGAUGGCUCCAAACUUUUUAGCACCGAGAGCUUUGGGGAAAAGGUCAGCUAGUUGUGUAUGUGUGGGCACAUAGGAUGGAAGAAGGCGCUUGUGAAUGAUUUCAUCUCGAACAAAGUGGCAGUCAACUUCAAUGUGUUUGGUGCGUUCGUGGAAGACCGGGUUUUUAGCAAUGUGAAGUGCUGCUUGACUAUCACAAUAAAGACGAAUUGAGUCAGGAUGAGGAACAUGUAGAGAAGCGAGAAUGUCUUUAAUCCACUUUAAUCCUCGGGUGGUCUUAGCCAUUGAUCGAUAUUCAGCCUCAGCAGAGGAGGCAGAAACCGUUUGUUGUUUCUGGGUUUUCCAAGAGAUUGGGGAAGUGCCGAGUUGAAUAAACCAUCCGGUGAGAGAUUUCUGUGUCAGUGGACAACUUGCCCAAUCAGAAUCACACCACCCAAAGAGUUGUAAGUUGUUCUCUCGAGGUAGGAGUAUUCCUUGUCCAGGAUGCCCCUUUAAAUAUCGAACAACACGAAGAGCAGCUUGCCAAUGCUCGGAGCGUGGAUUUUGCAUAAAUUGAGAUAAAGCUUGGACACUGUAGGCAAGGUCAGGUCGAGUGAAACACAGAUAAAUUAACCUCCCAAUAAGUCUACGAUAAGUAGCCGGGUCAGAAAGAAAAGAACCAGUAGCGGAGCUCAAUUUGUGAUUUUCUUCACAUGGUGUAGUGGCGGGCUUCGCACCCAACAAUCCAACUUCAGUAAUGAUAUCUAAGGCAUAUUUCCUCUGACAAAGGAAGAUUCCGUUGGGGGAGCGAGCAACUUCAACCCCCAGGAAGUACUUGAGGCGGCCUAAAUCUUUCAUAUGAAAGCAUUGAUUUAAGUAGCCUUUAAAACAUUGGAUGACAGUACCAUUAUUCCCUGCAAUCACAAGAUCAUCAACGUAGACUAGCACAACCAACUGUAUGUCAUUAUUAUUGAGAGUAAACAGGGAAUGAUCCUUCGGGGAUUGUUAGAAGCCGUAACGAGUGAGAGAAGAAGAUAGUUUAGCAAACCAACACCUGGGGGCCUGUCGGAGGCCAUAUAGAGACUUUUGAAGCUUGCACACUGCCCCUGGUUGAGAUUCUUGGAAGCUAGGAGGGAGUUUCAUAUAAACCUCAUCAUCAAGAUCACCAUGGAGAAACGCAUUGUGAACGUCCAUCUGAUGAAGCUCCCAAUCUUUUGCGGCUGCUACUGCUAGAGUUGUGCGAAUGGUUACCGUCUUUACGACAGGAGAAAACGUCUCGUUGUAAUCCAAACCAUCCACUUGAUGAUUGCCAAGAAUUACCAAUCGAGCCUUGAAUCUUUCAAUUGUUCCAUCCGAGUUGUAUUUGAUUUUGUAGAUCCAUUUACACCCAAGUGCCUUCUUUCCAGGAGGGAGAGCGGUGAGUUUCCAGGUGUCAUUGAGUUCGAGAGCAUGAAUCUCCUGUGCCAUAGCAUCACGCCACCGGGGUUCUCGGACCGCUUGAGAAAAGAACAGGGGUUCCUGCUCGGUGUGUAAAGAGGCAAGAAAACUUUGAUGAUGGUUAGAAAAGGAAUCACAAUUCACAAAAUUAUGUAUAGGAUACGAAACACCUGAGGAUUCUGUUGAAGGAGGUGACGGAACAGAGGGGCUUGACGGUAUCGUGGUGGCUGCGACAAAAUCGCGUAACCGUACGGAAGGCAGCUUCGCGCGAUGCCCUCGCCCAAGGGGAACCGCGGCCGUCAGCGGUGGUGAAGAAACCGACGGCGCCGUCUCCGUCGGACGCGGCGGUGGAUCCGCGGGUAGCGUCGAGGCUUCUAUACACGGAUCGGAGUCGUUGAUAGUGUGGUCGAAGUCAUCUGUGAGGGUAGCAUCCUCCUUGGCUGGGAUGGGAGAUGCAAUGGGUUGGUUGACGAUGCAUUCAUCUAGGUUUGAGGAGGCAACUUCAUGAAGAAAAUGUGGGGGUCCGUUCCAGUUUCUAAAGAGUUGGCAAUAAUUGGGUUUUGCAAUGGUGGUGCAGUGUCCAUCUUUUUGGCUUCAAAAUAUGGAAAUUUAUUUUCGAAAAAAUGUACAUCACGAGAGACAAAGAAAGUUUCUGUUUUCCAAUCAAAUAAUUUCCAUCCUUUUUGGCCAUAUGGAUACCCGACCAACACACAUUUUCGGCUACGACUAUCAAAUUUAUCCUGCUGUCUAUUUUGAUUAUGAGCAUAACAUAAUGAACCAAAUACUCGUAAGUGCGCGUAGCUGNNNNNNNNNNNNNNNNNNNNNNNNNNNNNNNNNNNNNNNNNNNNNNNNNNNNNNNNNNNNNNNNNNNNNNNNNNNNNNNNNNNNNNNNNNNNNNNNNNNNNNNNNNNNNNNNNNNNNNNNNNNNNNNNNNNNNNNNNNNNNNNNNNNNNNNNNNNNNNNNNNNNNNNNNNNNNNNNNNNNNNNNNNNNNNNNNNNNNNNNNNNNNNNNNNNNNNNNNNNNNNNNNNNNNNNNNNNNNNNNNNNNNNNNNNNNNNNNNNNNNNNNNNNNNNNNNNNNNNNNNNNNNNNNNNNNNNNNNNNNNNNNNNNNNNNNNNNNNNNNNNNNNNNNNNNNNNNNNNNNNNNNNNNNNNNNNNNNNNNNNNNNNNNNNNNNNNNNNNNNNNNNNNNNNNNNNNNNNNNNNNNNNNNNNNNNNNNNNNNNNNNNNNNNNNNNNNNNNNNNNNNNNNNNNNNNNNNNNNNNNNNNNNNNNNNNNNNNNNNNNNNNNNNNNNNNNNNNNNNNNNNNNNNNNNNNNNNNNNNNNNNNNNNNNNNNNNNNNNNNNNNNNNNNNNNNNNNNNNNNNNNNNNNNNNNNNNNNNNNNNNNNNNNNNNNNNNNNNNNNNNNNNNNNNNNNNNNNNNNNNNNNNNNNNNNNNNNNNNNNNNNNNNNNNNNNNNNNNNNNNNNNNNNNNNNNNNNNNNNNNNNNNNNNNNNNNNNNNNNNNNNNNNNNNNNNNNNNNNNNNNNNNNNNNNNNNNNNNNNNNNNNNNNNNNNNNNNNNNNNNNNNNNNNNNNNNNNNNNNNNNNNNNNNNNNNNNNNNNNNNNNNNNNNNNNNNNNNNNNNNNNNNNNNNNNNNNNNNNNNNNNNNNNNNNNNNNNNNNNNNNNNNNNNNNNNNNNNNNNNNNNNNNNNNNNNNNNNNNNNNNNNNNNNNNNNNNNNNNNNNNNNNNNNNNNNNNNNNNNNNNNNNNNNNNNNNNNNNNNNNNNNNNNNNNNNNNNNNNNNNNNNNNNNNNNNNNNNNNNNNNNNNNNNNNNNNNNNNNNNNNNNNNNNNNNNNNNNNNNNNNNNNNNNNNNNNNNNNNNNNNNNNNNNNNNNNNNNNNNNNNNNNNNNNNNNNNNNNNNNNNNNNNNNNNNNNNNNNNNNNNNNNNNNNNNNNNNNNNNNNNNNNNNNNNNNNNNNNNNNNNNNNCUUGACUGUUGCUUCCACUAGCGUGUGCCACAUUUGCACGUGUCGGGUUACCUUUGUUUCUCAUCCCUUGGCGUCCCCUGCCGUUCCAUUUGCCUUCACUUUUUGGUCUGUCACCCCACCAUUC